CUCGUCUUCUCCGAAUCCCAGGAUGUGUCCGACCAGCGUGGAGCCGCAGGAGCUGGCUGAGCCCAGACAAAGCGGUUUCUCCUGCCACUGGUCGCUUGCUGCCGACGGCGUUAUCGACGACUUCUGGAGAAUCCGCAGACCCGCAUGAUGCCACUAGAGACCGUCGUUGCGUCACCAGGAAGGUUUUGCUCAAUCACAAGAUUCACAACACAUCCGCAAAUUGGAACGGAAUUUCAGCCACCGCGCAUGGUUCCAAACCCAAUCCCAAAGAUCCUGCAAUGAAGGGAAAUUUCUCACCGUGAUUGACUUCCUCUUUGCCUCUUGGAGCGUCAGUCUUUGACAUCAGCAAAUGAGGAUGAAUUACAAACCAAAGAAAAGUGUGAACAGCGCAAGGCAGGAUGUCCCGUCUCCAUUUACACCCAACUGGCCAGGCCACUGUGGCAAGAGUAACACAAUACCGACGUCCCCCACCGGCCCCACCCCCACAUCGCUGGAACUUUGUAUUCACCGCAUGAUGCAAGGGACAGAUUGACGAGGGUGAGAAUGGAGAGUGGUGACGUCUGCAAAUCUAACAUUCUCAAAAACUAUAAUGGUUGCCUCCUACAGGAACACAAAUGCUGGUGACACAAAACACACCAUUUGAACUCUGUAGCCAACCAAAACAGCAGCACCCUUCCUCUAAAAGAUGGUCCCCAAUCUGAAACAUGCUACAAUUUGGAGGCAAUAUGGUUUGUGCCUUACCCGAGCUUAUCUCCAAACACGUAGCUGCCGUACAAUCGUCUGGACUGGCAACCCCUGUAGAUGAAACCGCCCACUGGCGGCGCUCCUCCGAUGGACUGCAGGUCAUAGACGGAAGGUUCGUUCUCUGCGCAGUAUGAAGGAGAGGAGCAAAUAUUAGAAAAACAAAAUCAUUCUUUGAGAAGAAAAAAAAAACGUAAAUUAGCUUUUUUAAGAAAAAAAUGUAUUUUAAAAGAACUUUUUACUUUUUGUGCGGAAAAGGGCGUUGAGGAACUAAUUUUAUAAUUAAAGUAUAGUUUGUGAGAAUGAUGAAGCCAAACGACAACAAUAAAGCGAUGACCAUGAAA